rnacentral:rRNA from 1 species
GACGAACGCUGGCGGCGUGCUUAACACAUGCAAGUCGAACGGAAAGGCCCUGCUUUUGGGGGGUGCGCGAGUGGCGAACGGGUGAGUAACACGUGAGUAACCUGCCCUUGACUGUGGGAUAACUUCAGGAAACUGGGGCUAAUACCGGAUAGGAGCUCCUGCUGAAUGGUGGGGGUGGGAAAGUUUCGGCGGUUGGGGAUGGACUCGCGGCUUAUCAGCUUGUUGGUGGGGUAGUGGCUUACCAAGGCUUUGAAGGGUAGCCGGCCUGAGAGGGUGACCGGCCACAUUGGGACUGAGCUACGGCCCAGCCUCCUCCGGGAGGCAGCAGUGGGGAAUAUUGCACAAUGGGCGGAAGCCUGAUGCAGCAACGCCGCGUGCGGGAUGACGGCCUUCGGGUUGUAUUCCGCUUUCGCCUGUGACGAAGCGUGAGUGACGGUAAUGGGUAAAGAAGCACCGGCUAACUCCGUG